rnacentral:rRNA from 1 species
UACGUAGGGUCCGAGCGUUGUCCGGAUUUAUUGGGCGUAAAGAGCGUGUAGGCGGUCCGGUAAGUCCGCUGUGAAAGUCGGGGGCUCAACCCUCGAAUGCCGGUGGAUACUGUCGGGCUAGAGUGCGGAAGAGGCGAGUGGAAUUCCCGGUGUAGCGGUGGAAAUGCGCAGAUAUCGGGAGGAACACCAAUGGCGAAGGCAGGCUCGCUGGGACGGUACUGACGCUGGAGACGCGAAAGCGUGGGGAGCAAAGCAGG